CAGUAGCCGCGGGAAUACAGAGGGUGCAAGCGUUAAUCGGAAUUACUUGGCGUAAAGCGCGCGUAGGUGGUUUGUUAAGUUGGAUGUGAAAGCCCCGGGCUCAACCUGGGAACUGCAUCCAAAACUGGCAAGCUAGAGUACGGUAGAGUGUGGUGGAAUUUCCUGUGUAGCGGUGAAAUGCGUAGAUAUAGGAAGGAACACCAGUGGCGAAGGCGACCACCUGGACUGAUACUGACACUGAGGUGCGAAAGCGUGGGGAGCAAACAGGAUUAGAUACCCCAGUAGUCCCUGUCUCUUAUAC
rnacentral:rRNA from 1 species